rnacentral:rRNA from 1 species
AUUCGAUGCAACGCGAAGAACCUUACCUGGUCUUGACAUGUACGGAAUCCUCCAGAGACGGAGGAGUGCCUUCGGGAGCCGUAACACAGGUGCUGCAUGGCUGUCGUCAGCUCGUGUCGUGAGAUGUUGGGUUAAGUCCCGCAACGAGCGCAACCCUUGUCAUUAGUUGCCAUCAUUUAGUUGGGCACUCUAAUGAGACUGCCGGUGACAAGCCGGAGGAAGGUGGGGAUGACGUCAAGUCCUCAUGGCCCUUAUGACCAGGGCUUCACACGUCAUACAAUGGUCGGUACAGAGGGAAGCGAACCGCGAGGUGGAGCAAAUCCCAGAAACAAGCUCUCAGUUCGGAUCGUAGGCUGCAACUCGCCUACGUGAAGUCGGAAUCGCUAGUAAUCGCAGGUCAGCAUACUGCGGUGAAUACGUUCCCGGGCCUAGUACAC